rnacentral:rRNA from 1 species
UACAGGGGGUGCAAACGUUGCUCGGAAUUCAUUGGGCGUAAAGCGCACGUAGGCGGUUCGUUAUGUCGGAUGUGAAAGCCCUUGGCUUAACCGAGGAAGUGCAUCCGAAACUGGCGAGCUAGAGUACGAAAGAGGAUCGCGGAAUUCCCGGUGUAGAGGUGAAAUUCGUAGAUAUCGGGAGGAACACCGGUGGCGAAGGCGGCGAUCUGGGUCGAUACUGACGCUGAGGUGCGAAAGCGUGGGGAGCAAACAGG